CAGCAGCCGAGGCGAUCGGGCGUGCCGC
rnacentral:sRNA from 1 species